rnacentral:lncRNA from 1 species
CCUAGACAGAGGAAGAGGAUGAGUAUAUUUUUAGACAAUGAAGCUUGGAGCAGAAAGGGAAAAAAAAGGAAGUUCACAAAUCUUGGCUUUGUACGGGGUUGAAAAGAGAACCUUGCCAAGGGGGCAUGCCAUUGGUUUCAUCUUGCUCGCGUUUCUUCAAAGGUGUAGACUUGCAAGACUUUUUUUCUUCCCCAAACCUUGAGUAGUUAGUAGUAUACAUAUUAUUAAGUCUAUAUUACAGAUGAAGAAACGGAGGCAUGGAGGAGUUAAAGCAACUUUUAGGAUCGUAGAUAUCAUCAUGGAAGGGGUCUCAGGAACCAUCUAGCUAGUCCAUUUCCCUUCUUUAACAAAUCAAGAGAAUGAAGCUGAGAGAGGUGAAGUGAUUCAUCCAAAGUCACAUGGGAAGUAAGGAACAAUGUUAGUUUUGAUGGAUUGUCCACCAGAGGAGAAGGCUGGUGUAUCACAAGAUGGUUCCAUGGGACUUCCCACAUAAUAUUGUCCCCCACAAAUACACGUCUAACUCCAAAGCAUGCAUCUCUGCCAGCUUCUGCUUGCCUGGACUUCUGGAUCCUUGUUAUUUGGAGCAUCCUUACUGGACGGGACGCACCUCUAGAUUAGAUUCUUGGACUCCCAGAUGCUCAUGCCUGAUUAUCUCAGAACAGACUGGAGACUGAUCGCUUCCCCUAGUAGAGUCAAGAAUGGCUGAGCAGGUCAAUGACCCAGGCCCAUUUCUCUGAGGCCAUUUUGGGGGGAGGGAAGGCCUGAUGGUCCUUUCCAUCACAGUAUGGCUCUCUCUGACUGU